rnacentral:rRNA from 1 species
CCUACGGGUGGCAGCAGUGAGGAAUAUUGGUCAAUGGCCGGAAGGCUGAACCAGCCAAGCCGCGUGAAGGACGAAGGUGCCAAGCAUUGUAAACUUCUUUUGUCAAGGGACAAAAUCAGGCUCGAGAGCCUGACCGAGGGUACUUGAAGAAAAAGCAUCGGCUAACUCCGUGCCAGCAGCCGCGGUAAUACGGAGGAUGCGAGCGUUAUCCGGAUUUAUUGGGUUUAAAGGGUGCGUAGGCGGACUGUUAAGUCAGCGGUAAAAGCCCGGGGCUCAACCCCGGCGAGCCGUUGAAACUGGCGUGCUUGAGUCCGCGGAAAGCAGGCGGAAUUCGUCGUGUAGCGGUGAAAUGCUUAGAUAUGACGAAGAACCCCGAUUGCGAAGGCAGCUUGCUGCAGCGGAACUGACGCUGAUGCUCGAAAGCGCGGGUAUCGAACAUGAUUAGAUACCCCCGGUAGUC